UGUCAUUUGUACCAAUUGUAGAUAUUGUCCAUAACAAGUCUUCAUGUUUACAUUCUUGCCAGUGGUGCUGAUACUUUUUUUAUCACAACCGCUUGUUUCAGCUGUUCCAAGUAUUGAAGCAUUACUUAUGGAAGUACUUAGAGAGGGCUACCCAUUACAAAAGAAGAGCUCAUCACGAUGCUGUGAUGGUAUGUUUGCAAAACUGGAAAAAAUUCUGUGCUAUGGUGGCCUUAAGCAUGUGCUCAACAUUUUGUAUAAUCUGAACAGUUCAACAUCAAACAUGGAUUAGAAUUUUAGCGGGGGAUCAAGUCAAGUCUGGAAGUGUUACAGGAUGGAAGAGUGAGCCUACAGUUGAAAAAACACUGAGAGUACAUUACCAUUAAGGUAUGAGGUAAAGUAAUAGAGUAUGCA